GGAACUGCAAGCAGCUGUACAGGGAUUUGUUGGGACUCAACUUGUUGAUGUCUUUUUUAUUAUUACGCCUCAAUCCAUUCAAACUAUACAAUUAUGUGUUGGGAUUUUUUGUUUUUCGAAAGCAGUCAGCUUAACUUUGAUAUUUACAACAAACUGUGUAGAACCUUUCAGCAAUUUUAUUUCAUUAGUUUCAUAUUUCGUUGACACAUUUAUAUAAAGUAUAUUCAAAAUGUUUUUCGAAAUUGCAAAUAUUUUUAAAAUCUUCCAGAAAUACUAAACAACAAUGAAAAUUUGAAAUCAGGAAUCUAUAAAGCAUUGUUUUCCAUGAGAAUAUCAAAAUGGAAAUGCAUGGACUGAAGAACAGACUUUGCUGCUUAAGCAGAUGAUCUAUUCCGAAUAAUAUGUUAAAUAAACAAUUAAGUUUAGAAUCAAUCAAUAUUUUGUAUAUAAUUUCUGCAUCCAAAAAUAUCCGUUCUUGUCGAACUGAAUGAUCAAUAGAUUCGCUACUAUUUAUUAUAUUAA